rnacentral:rRNA from 1 species
UACGUAGGUGGCAAGCGAUACUCGGAAUCACUAGGCGUAAAGCGCAGGUAGGCGGUUUGGUAAGUCUUUUGUGAAAGCUCCUGGCUCAACUGGGAGAGGUCAAGGGAAACUGCCGGACUAGAGUGUGGUAGGGGAUACUGGAAUUCCUGGUGUAGCGGUGAAAUGCGUAGAUAUCAGGAGGAAUACCUAUGGCGAAAGCAGGUAUCUGGGCCAUCACUGACGCUGAGCUGCGAAAGCUAGGGGAGCAAACAGG